GACAGGUCCUGUGGGUGAGUCGGGGAGAAGGGAGAUGGCAGAAGCCCUAGCCGCCGUCGGAUGGUUCCGGUUGAUACAUCUUGAUCUACUAGCAUUCUCUUUAUGGAUGUAAAAAUGGGUUACCAGAAUCCAGAAUUAGGUCCUGAUUGAAGCAAAAGUAACAA